UUAAAAAAUAAUAAAAUAAAAAUAGAGUAGUAUUAGUUAUAUUCUUAAAACUUAAAAAAUUUGGCGGUAUUUUAAUCUAUUCAGAGGAACUUGUUUUAUAAUUGAUAAUCCCCAAUUAAUCUUACUUAAUUUAUAUAAAUUUGUAUACCGUUGUCAUAAGAAUUUCUUUAAAAAGUAAUAAUUUUCUAAAAUUUUUAUUAAUAAUAAUGUCAAAUCAAGGUGCAGUUUAUAAUUAAGUAAAAAUGAGUUACAAUAAAGUUAUUUAUUUAUGAAUUAAAAAUUGAAAAAUUUUUAUGAAGGAGGAUUUGAUAGUAAAAUAAAAUUAAUAAUUUUAUUUGAUUAUAGUUCUAAAAUAUGU
rnacentral:rRNA from 1 species